GUUCAACUUUGUAAGUUUGGGUCUUACUGAUAGGUUUGGUUUAACUAAUAUGGGUCAGUGUCAUUUUGUAGAUUUAUCUUCAAAUGCUGGGUUUGGGUUCAACUUGUAAGUUGGGUCUAACUGAUAGGUUUCAUUUAACUAUUUUGGGUCUAUGUCAUUUUGUAGAUUUAUCUUUUAACUGCUUGGUUUGGGUUCAACUGGUAAGUUUUGGUCUAACUGAUAGGUUUGGUUUUACUAUUAUGGGUUUGGGUUCAUUUAGUAGAUGAAUCUUUAACUAAAGACUUUGGAUUCAUGGUAUGGGUAUAUGUUCAACUGGUACAUGUUGGUACAGAUUUAUUGGUACUGAUGUAACAAGCUCAACUGUUAUAUAUAUAGGUUCAACUUGUGACCUGGUUGAAUUUUUCACAAACAUCUUAAAUCUUUCAGUUGAAUCUAGAUGUUGUUUAAAUGUUUAAAAAUAUAGUUUUUAUUUUUAGGAAACAUACAUAUAGAUGAAUACUUAUUUGAAAACCCAAUUUUUGAUAUUCUCCUUAUUCUAAAUGUGAACCAUGAUUUUAUUCCAGUAGUUCUUCAUCUUCAAAAUAUUAGCAAAUUAUAU
rnacentral:sRNA from 1 species